UACGUAGGGUGCGAGCGUUGUCCGGAAUUAUUGGGCGUAAAGAGCUCGUAGGCGGUGUGUCGCGUCGGCCGUGAAAACCUGGGGCUUAACUCUGGGCGUGCGGUCGAUACGGGCAUCACUGGAGUUCGGCAGGGGAGACUGGAAUUCCUGGUGUAGCGAUGAAAUGCGCAGAUAUCAGGAGGAACACCGGUGGCGAAGGCGGGUCUCUGGGCCGAUACUGACGCUGAGGAGCGAAAGCAUGGGUAGCGAACAGG
rnacentral:rRNA from 1 species